GUCAGAGUAGCUCAGCUGGUUAGAGCACAGGAUUCAUAACCCUGAGGUCGGGAGUUCAAGUCUCCCCUCUGACACUA
rnacentral:tRNA from 1 species